rnacentral:rRNA from 1 species
ACUUUUCUUGACUCUUCAAAGGUCUUGGAAUAAGGGGUGGGUAAGGACGGUGCCAGCCGCCGCGGUAAUACCGGCGCCUCAAGUGGUAGUCGAUUUUAUUGGGCCUAAAACGUCCGUAGCCGGUUUGGUACAUUCGUGGGUAAAUCAACCAGCUCAACGGGUUGAAUUCUGCGAGCACGGCCAGACUUGGGACCGGGAGAGGUGUGGGGUACUCUCAGGGUAGGGGUAAAAUCCUGUCAUCCUGAGAGGACCACCUGUUGCGAAGGCGCCACACUAAAACGGAUCCGACGGUCAGGGACAAAGCCUAGGGGCACGAACCGGAUUAAAUACCCGGGUAGUCCUAGGUGUAAACGCUGUGGACUUGAUGUUGGGAGUGAUCCGAGCAUUCUCAGUGCCGAAGCGAAGGUGAUAAGUCCACUGCCUGGGGAGUACGGUCGCAAGGCUGAAACUUAAAGG